rnacentral:lncRNA from 1 species
GGAGAAGGAAUCACCUGUGGUACGCUGGAGCCUGCAUGUGGCGUGACUCUGCAGCUCGCCUCAUGUGAUUGGUGGCAGCCACAGAGACUGCAGCUCGACAGGAGUGAAUUAUCAGGAGUCGGCGCCGUGGCAGCUUUGGGAUAACUUGAGGGCGCAUCCUGGGGAAGAAACACCUCCUGUCCGUGGUGCUGACUGCGGAGGACAGCGCUUCGGCGUGGCUUCUCCGUGGCCCAGCUUCUUUGGUGCAUUUUUCUUUCAUGGU